GUAGGUUUAAAUGACAUACAUGCUGUGUCACAUGUAUGUCAAUAGGUGGCAGAGAGGAAAGAGGCUAUGUCAAUCUAUGCUCAGUGUUCUGACUUGUGACCAUCAGAAUGAUUAGUAGCCUAACAUU